GGCGAGGUAGCUCAGCUGGUUAGAGCACACGACUCAUAAUCGUGGGGUCGGGGGUUCAAGUCCCCCCUCGCCACCA
rnacentral:tRNA from 1 species